GGAUGUGAGGGCGAUCUGGCUGGGACAUCUGUCACCCUAUUGAUCGCCAGGGUUGAUUUGGCUGAUCUGGCUGGCUAGGCAGAUGUCCCAUUCCUGCCUCACUGCUCCUGAAGCUGCGUGCUCGUUGCAAGAGGACGGCCUUCCCUGCUCUAUGUAGAGGAGGAGUGGUCUUCAGUCAAGGGUGUACGAGCAGCUCCGCUAGAACCUCCAAACAAGCUCUCAGAUCAUCUUUCAAAAUUUUAAUCUUAAGAUUCCAGAAUGGGGCCCUAUUUAGAGAAAGAACCUGUGAAAGGGAAAAAAUUCAGGUUCUAUCUUC
rnacentral:snRNA from 1 species